UACGAAGGGGGCUAGCGUUGCUCGGAAUUACUGGGCGUAAAGCGCACGUAGGCGGCUUUCUAAGUCGGGGGUGAAAUCCUGGAGCUCAACUCCAGAACUGCCUUCGAUACUGGAAAGCUCGAGUCCGGGAGAGGUGAGUGGAACUGCGAGUGUAGAGGUGAAAUUCGUAGAUAUUCGCAAGAACACCAGUGGCGAAGGCGGCUCACUGGCCCGGUACUGACGCUCAGGCGCGAAAGCGUGGGGAGCAAACAGG
rnacentral:rRNA from 1 species